rnacentral:rRNA from 1 species
GAUGAACGCUAGCGGCAGGCUUAAUACAUGCAAGUCGAGGGGUAGCAAGAUUGUAGCAAUACAAUUGUUGACGACCGGCAAACGGGUGCGGAACACGUACACAACCUUCCUACAAGUGGGGAAUAGCCCAGAGAAAUUCGGAUUAAUACCCCGUAACAUAGCGAUGUGGCAUCACAUUGCUAUUAUAGCUUCGGCGCUUGUUGAUGGGUGUGCGGCUGAUUAGAUAGUUGGCGGGGUAACGGCCCACCAAGUCUACGAUCAGUAGCUGAUGUGAGAGCAUGAUCAGCCACACGGGCACUGAGACACGGGCCCGACGCCUACGGGAGGCAGCAGUAAGGAAUAUUGGACAAUGGACGCAAGUCUGAUCCAGCCAUGCCGCGUGAAGGAUUAAGGUCCUCUGGAUUGUAAACUUCUUUUAUAAGGGACGAAAAAAGGUCUUUCUAGAUCGUCUGACGGUACCUUAUGAAUAAGCACCGGCUAACUCCGUGCCAGCCGCCGCCGCUGUAA